GUCUUCGUGGUGAAGUUGUCAGCACGCUCGACGCGUAUUCCAGAGAUCCGUGGUUCGAAUCCCGGCUAGGGCA
rnacentral:tRNA from 1 species